rnacentral:rRNA from 1 species
CUACGGGGGGCUCCAGUUAGGAAUAAUCUACAAUGCGCGCAGGCGUGAUAGUUUGAAUCAGAGUGCGUUCCAAUUUGGAAUGCUUUUGUCGAAUGUAAAAAGUUCGACGAAUAAGGACUGGGUAAGACGAGUGCCAGCCGCCGCGGUAAUACUCGCGGUCCAAGUCGCAGCCAUUUUUAUUGGGUCUAAAACAACCGUAGCUUGCUUUUUGAGUUCCUUGUGAAAUCCGGUAUCUAAAGUAUUGGGCGCGCAAGGAGUACUAUUAAGCUAGAGACUGGAAGACGUAAGAAGUACGUUCAAAGUAGCGGUCAAAUGCGUUGAUCUUGAGCGGACUAUCAAUAGCGAAGGCAUCUUACGAGGACAGUUCUGACAGUAAGGGAUGAAGGCUAGGGGCGCAAAACGGAUUAGAUACCCCUGUAGUC